CCUACGGGGAGCAGCAGUGGGGGAUAUUGCACAAUGGGGGAAACCCUGAUGCAGCAACGCCGCGUGUGGGAAGAGGGUUUUCGGAUGUUAAACCACUGUUCUUGGAGAGGAUAAUGAGGGUAACCAAGGAGAAAGCUCCGGCUAACUACGUGCCAGACGCCGCGGGAAUACGAAGGGAGCAAGCGUUGUCCGGAUUUACUGGGUGUAAGGGGUGAGUAGGCGGUCUUGCAAGUAAGACGUGAAAACCACAGGCUCAACCUGUGGACUGCGUUUGAAAUUGUGGGGCUUGAGUGAAGUAGAGGUAGGCGGAAUUCCCGGUGUAGCGGUGAAAUGCGUAGAGAUCGGGAGGAACACCAGUGGAAAAGGCGGCCUACUGGGCUUUAACGGACGCUGAGGCACGAAAGCAUGGGUAGCAAACAGGAGUAGAUACCCCUGUAGUC
rnacentral:rRNA from 1 species